UUGUUCCUACGGUGUUAGUAAACCUUCUUGAGCCCCGGUCUCAGCGAUGGUCUCUCUUCCUUCUUUCCUUGCAGUCUGCUUCUCGUCGACGUUGGCGGUUGGAGAGCAGUACUCGGUGACAUUGAGUUCAUCCUAAAAGGCGGCGUGCUUAGGUCGUCAAUGGCCGAGCGAGGAGGGUGGCAACCGGGCAAACGGGCUGGAGGUUCGUCGUUAGCGUCGGAACUAGGCUUGGGAGGGCAUCAGUGUUGUCAUAUCAGCCCGAAAGUUAAUAGGAGCUACAAAUCCUCUUAAUGCUGAACCAGGCACAACCAGAGGAGACCUUGCGGUUCAAACUGGAAGUUCAGGCAUCUCUGAUUAUUGCGCAUAAGUUCUAUAUCUUUUAUUUUGCAAUGAAUGUGAUUUUUUUUUCAUUUAAAACUGUAGCUUUUUACUUUUUAUCCAUAAAAAUUAUUCAACACUAGAGUUUAUUCUUAGUAUGCUAUAUUUGAUAAGCUUACAGUAUGAGCACUUAUUUCUACAGAAUGGUAAUGGAAAAAUAAGAUUUCUACUUUUAAAAGAUGAGUUUGAUACAGAUACUCUAGAAUGAAUGAUUUCUACUUUAUUUAUGUGAAAUGGUGAACCAUAUAAAAAUGGAAGCACUUAGAAUGAUCUUUAACUGUUUGACAGGAUUUUAUAUAUACGGUUAUCAUGUUGUGUGCACAGCUAUGGUGCUUCUUCUGCCAAGUUUUUGAAUGUUGUGUGCCUGUGAAUGAAAUUAACUUGAUGCCUUGUUUGCCCGGUUCGAGUUUGUGUCCCCGUUUGUGUUGUGUGCACAUUUAGAGUACUACGUGUGCACGGUUUUGAAAUGUUGCAUGCCUCUCUUUUUGGUAACUAUUACUUUAUUUUUCGUUCACUAUUUUGCAAUGAGUUUAUAGUUAUUCUAGUAGUUUUUUUUUCCUGGUUUCGUGUGUGCACUCUUUCGCUAUGUGUGUGUGCCUUCUUCAUUCACGUGUGUGCCCGAACAACUUAAUGUGUGCCCAAGUCCCAUUACAUGUGUGCCCAUCUAUUUUUUGGUGUGUGCACUUGUGUUUUAUUUUAUAAAAACAACCAGAAUUUCACCAAGUCUGUUUGUGUGCCCGUAUAAUUAGCUUUGUGUACACUCUUGGAUUUAUUGUGUGCCAUUGUUCGUAUUAUUGUGUGCCACUAUUUGUUAUACUGUGUGCCACUGUUGGUUAAUUUUUUUGUUCGUUGGUGGCAUGCAGCAAAAAAAACCCAAGGGAGCAUCUUCAAUAGGGUGUUCGUCUUAGCUGCGUAAUGAUGAUGACGAUUUUGUUGAAGGUUCAUCUCCUUUCUUAGAAAGGAUGCAACGGGAUCCUCUUUGGGAUGCUCCAGAUACUGAUUUAAAUGCAGAGGAGCGGGGAAGGUUUCUUACUUUUAAAGUUAGGGUGCCACCUUCACUUUUUGUAGAGGCGUUAGAAGACCUGUGUGCCAAGUUUUUGCCUUAUGUUUAAUAUCUAAACUUCGUUCGAAAAUUGUGUUAACUUUGAAAUAUCAUUGAAAUGAUCUUCUUUAUUCAUGUGUAAAUGUAUUUCAACGCUGGGUAAAAAUUAAAUUUGUUUUGGAUUUUCU